rnacentral:rRNA from 1 species
UACGUAGGGGGCAAGCGUUGUCCGGAUUUAUUGGGCGUAAAGAGCGUGUAGGCGCCAGACAGGUCCGUUGUGAAAACUGGAGGCUCAACCUCCAGACGUCGAUGGAAACCGUCUGGCUAGAGUCCGGAAGAGGAGAGUGGAAUUCCUGGUGUAGCGGUGAAAUGCGCAGAUAUCAGGAAGAACACCCGUGGCGAAAGCGGCUCUCUGGGACGGUACUGACGCUGAGACGCGAAAGCGUGGGGAGCGAACAGG